rnacentral:lncRNA from 1 species
AUUUUAGUUUUGAUUUUAUAACACUAAAAUCAAAAUACUCAAACUAAACCAAACUGACUGAUAUAAAAAAAAAAAAAAAAAAAAAAACUGCUUUCUACACCCUAGAUCUCAUCCCUAACAUUGCAGUCGCCCCCUUCUACUCCCAAUCUUCUACACGCCACACCACCUUUCAAGGUUCAAUUAUUCCUCGAUAUCUCCAUCUACAAUAUUCUCUAGAUGUAGCAAGCCAUCACCCCCCUCCGGAGCUCCUCCACGCCACACCCUACCUUUCUAUAUAUCUUCAUUCUAAUUCAAUCUGCGCAUGAAGGGAGGCUGUCUCUACUCUUGAAAGAAAAUGGGGUGGUGGCUGCUUUAACUAGGUGAACUACGGUAUGGAUGGCGUGGAGGAGAUGAGGGAGAUUGUGGUGUGGGUUUACAAUUUUUCUUGGGAGGAGGACGAUGACGAGAGGAAUUAAUUCUCUGGGUCAUGAAGUUGGCUACGGGUAUGGUUUACCUUUCUAUCACACUGAGAUUGUUGUAGCUAAUCUGUUUAUUUUAUUAUUAUUUUUCUCCAUUUACACUGUAUAUGACUAAGGUG